AAAGGAAUAGACGGGGACCCGCACAAGCAGCGGAGCAUGUGGUUUAAUUCGAAGCAACGCGAAGAACCUUACCAGGACUUGACAUCCUUCUGACCGGUCCUUAACCGGACCUUCUCUUCGGAGCAGAAGUGACAGGUGGUGCAUGGUUGUCGUCAGCUCGUGUCGUGAGAUGUUGGGUUAAGUCCCGCAACGAGCGCAACCCUUGUCAUUAGUUGCCAUCAUUCAGUUGGGCACUCUAGUGAGACUGCCGGGGACAACUCGGAGGAAGGUGGGGAUGACGUCAAAUCAUCAUGCCCCUUAUGUUCUGGGCUACACACGUGCUACAAUGGUUGGUACAAAGAGCAGCAAUCUCGUGAGAAGGAGCAAAUCUCAAAAACCAAUCCCAGUUCGGAUUGUAGGCUGCAACUCGCCUACAUGAAGUUGGAGUUGCUAGUAAUCGCAGAUCAGAAUGCUGCGGUGAAUGCGUUCCCGGGUCUUGUACACACCGCCCGU
rnacentral:rRNA from 1 species